rnacentral:lncRNA from 1 species
ACUACAACAAAAACGGUCUAUAGCGACACUUUUAAAUGUCGGUAUAGGUCAAAAAAGUGUUGCUGGCUAAAUUUACCGACACUUUUGAAAAGUGUUGCUAUAUGUGGGGUCGCUAGGUAUAUAGUGAUAGUUAAAGAGUGUCGCUAUAAUCUAAAAGAGUGCUGCUAAUUUACCAACAUUUAUUUAAGCAUCUAGCAACCGCCGGAAUUCUACCUCUUUGGCUGCAGUGGCGGAGGAGGACGGGAGGAAAUGAUCUUCGUCUAGGAUUUCAGUCGAUUGAGUGAGGGGAGAAGGGAAAAUGAUAAUCGAAUUUUCUUUUCUUUUUCUUUUUUAUUUGUAAUCGGGCCGAAUGGGCUAAGUGGAGUAUGUUGAGUAAAUACCCUUUUAUUUUUAGUUGGAUUGGACUUUAUAUUUAGGCAUUAGUAGGAUUUUUUUUAAAGUUUUGGCAUAAAUGUGACACUUAUACAAAAGUGUCCCAAACAUGUGUCGCUAUAACCUAAUUCUGUUGUAGUGU